AUGUUUACCUGGCAGGGGAGAUACCAUGAUCCAGAAGGUGGUUUUCCCAGGGGUAGGCUUAUCCAUGUCACUCCGGAUGUCCUGACCCCUGUGACUUCCCCAAAUGUGCCAAACUUUUCUGAGAGUCUUUCCCAUCUUUAUGUGUUUCUCAGCACCUAUGUG
ensembl:snRNA U1 U1 spliceosomal RNA